UGGGGGUUUCGACGGCCAGUGAUUAGAGUUUGAUCCUGGCUCAGGAUGAACGCUGGCGGCGUGCCUAAUACAUGCAAGUCGGACGGAGCGCUUAGGCGCUCAGUGGCGAACGGGUGAGUAGCACAUGGGCAACCUGCCCUUCAGAGGGGGACAACAGCUGGAAACGGCUGCUAAGACCGCAUAGGCGCGGACGGGACAUCCCGUCCACGUUAAACGUCCUUACCAGGACGGCUGAAGGAUGGGCCUGUGGCGCAUUAGCUUGUUGGCGGGGCAACGGCCCACCAAGGCGACGAUGCGUAGCCGGCCUGAGAGGGCGGACGGCCACACUGGGACUGAGACACGGCCCAGACUCCUACGGGAGGCAGCAGUAGGGAAUUUUCGGCAAUGGGGGGAACCCUGACCGAGCAACGCCGCGUGAACGAGGAAGGCCUUCGGGUCGUAAAGUUCUGUUGCGAAGGAAGAACGCCGGAGGGAGGAAAUGCCCUGCGGGUGACGGUACUUCGCGAGAAAGCCACGGCUAACUACGUGCCAGCAGCCGCGGUAAUACGUAGGUGGCGAGCGUUAUCCGGAAUCAUUGGGCGUAAAGAGGGAGCAGGCGGCCGUGAGGGUCUGUGGUAAAAGACUGAAGCUCAACUUCAGUGAGCCAUGGAAACCGGACGGCUGGAGUGCGGCAGAGGAUCGUGGAAUUCCAUGUGUAGCGGUGAAAUGCGUAGAUAUAUGGAGGAACACCAGUGGCGAAGGCGACGGUCUGGGCCUGCACUGACGCUCAUUCCCGAAAGCGUGGGGAGCAAAUAGGAUUAGAUACCCUAGUAGUCCACGCCGUAAACGAUCGAUACCAGGUGUCGGGGGAGAAGCCCCCGGUGCCGGAGUCAACGCAUUAAGUAUCGCGCUUGAGUAGUACGUUCGCAAGAAUGAAACUCAAAGGAAUUGACGGGGGCCCGCACAAGCGGUGGAGCAUGUGGUUUAAUUCGAAGCAACGCGAGAACCUUACCAGGUCUUGACAUCGAUCCAGCGCAUGAGAGAUCAUGCGCAUUCCCCCGGGGAAGGAGAGACAGGUGGUGCAUGUGUCGUCAGCUCGUGUCGUGAGAUGUGGGUAGUCCGCACGAGCGCACCCCUGCCGCCAGUGCAGCAUGGUGGGGACUCUGGCGGACUGCUCUGCAGGAGGAGGAGGCGGAUGACGUUCAAUCCAUCAUGCCCUUAUGAACCUUGG
rnacentral:rRNA from 1 species